rnacentral:rRNA from 1 species
GUGGGGAAUCUUCCGCAAUGGACGAAAGUCUGACGGAGCAACGCCGCGUGAGUGAUGAAGGUCUUCGGAUUGUAAAGCUCUGUUAAUCGGGACGAAAGAGCCUAGUGUGAAUAAUGCUAGGAAGUGACGGUACCGGAAUAGAAAGCCACGGCUAACUACGUGCCAGCAGCCGCGGUAAUACGUAGGUGGCAAGCGUUGUCCGGAAUUAUUGGGCGUAAAGCGCGCGCAGGCGGAUCUGCCAGUCUGUCUUAAAAGUUCGGGGCUUAACCCCGGGAUGGGAUGGAAACUACAGAUCUAGAGUAUCGGAGAGGAAAGUGGAAUUCCUAGUGUAGCGGUGAAAUGCGUAGAUAUUAGGAAGAACACCAGAGGCGAAGGCGACUUUCUGGACGAAAACUGACGCUGAGGCGCGAAAGCCAGGGGAGCGAACGGGAUUAGAAACCCUAGUAGUCC